rnacentral:rRNA from 1 species
GAUGAACGCUGGCGGCGUGCCUAAUACAUGCAAGUCGAGCGAACGGACGAGAAGCUUGCUUCUCUGAUGUUAGCGGCGGACGGGUGAGUAACACGUGGAUAACCUACCUAUAAGACUGGGAUAACUUCGGGAAACCGGAGCUAAUACCGGAUGAUAUUUUGAACCGCAUGGUUCAAAAGUGAAAGACGGUCUUGCUGUCACUUAUAGAUGGAUCCGCGCUGCAUUAGCUAGUUGGUAAGGUAACGGCUUACCAAGGCAACGAUGCAUAGCCGACCUGAGAGGGUGAUCGGCCACACUGGAACUGAGACACGGUCCAGACUCCUACGGGAGGCAGCAGUAGGGAAUCUUCCGCAAAGGGCGAAAGCCUGACGGAGCAACGCCGCGUGAGUGAUGAAGGUCUUCGGAUCGUAAAACUCUGUUAUUAGGGGAGAACAUAUGUGUAAGUAACUGUGCACAUCUUGACGGUACCUAAUCAGAAAGCCACGGCUAACUACGUG